AAAGUCGUAACAAGGUAACCGUAGGUGAACCUGCGGUUGGAUCAUUACUGAUUUACGGCAGACUCUGGCUUUCGUAGCUGUCGAGUCUGCCCAUCAACCACUGUGCACUGUAAUUGUAUUUUGGGUCAGACUCCUAGAGUUUGGCCCAGCCUAUACCAACCCCUUUUAAUAGCCUUAGUUUUUAUAUGUAAAUGUAAACAACUUUAGACAACGGAUCUCUUGGCUCUC
rnacentral:misc_RNA from 1 species